rnacentral:rRNA from 1 species
UACGAACUGUGCAAACGUUAUUCGGAAUCACUGGGCUUAAAGGGUGCGUAGGUGGGCAGGUAAGUCAGUGGUGAAAUCUCCGGGCUUAACCCGGAAACUGCCAUUGAUACUAUCUGUCUUGAAUACCGUGGAGGUGAGCGGAAUAUGUCAUGUAGCGGUGAAAUGCUUAGAUAUGACAUAGAACACCAAUUGCGAAGGCAGCUCACUACACGAAUAUUGACACUGAGGCACGAAAGCGUGGGGAUCAAACAGG